AACAAAGAAGUAAAUUUUACUUUUAGUUUCGACCUAAAUAUAAAGGUAUUGAUCCUUCAUGUUU
rnacentral:tRNA from 1 species